rfam:Vitis vinifera cultivar Maxxa chloroplast, complete genome.
GAAAGCCGUGUGCAAUCAAAAAAGCAAGCACGGCUUGGGGAGGGAUUUUUUACCUUUUUUUUUAACAAGGAAAUUAUCUACUCUAU